rnacentral:rRNA from 1 species
UACGUAGGUGGCAAGCGUUGUCCGGAUUUACUGGGCGUAAAGGGCGUGCAGGCGGUUUGUUAAGUGCAGGGUGAAAGCUCCCGGCUUAACUGGGAAACUGCAUCGGAAACUGAUCGGCUUGAAGGUGGGAGAGGGUAGUGGAAUUCCCGGUGUAGUGGUGAAAUGCGUAGAUAUCGGGAGGAACACCAGUGGCGAAGGCGACUACCUGGCCCAUUCUUGACGCUGAGGCGCGAAAGCUAGGGGAGCGAACGGG